UGUAAUUUAGCUAGUCACAAUUCUCUGAUUUGCAUAAUGAAUCGUAUUCUCCUGAAUUCAGUUUUCAUGAAUGAUCUUGGUAUGUAAACAUUUUCUCAACUUCUAGUCAUUUGACGAGAAGAAUAGGCUUUUUUCCGCACAUUGUGUAAUGCUGAGGUGCCUAAUUUCAGGAAGCACUGCAGGAGUUGCGACAACUGUGUUGAUGGGUUUGAUCAUCAUUGCCGAGCUCCAUUAUCUUUCUGACAGCUUGUAGCUGAAUGUGGUGUGGGAAUUUGGGUCCUUGUUCGUUGCUUAGUUUUUAAAGAGGCCACUGAAUAUCAAAUAAUUGAGAGGCUUGGAGAUGGAUUUCACGCCUGUUUUUGCUACAGUGGUGGUAGUGUAGAUUUAAAGCACUAUUACUCAUCGAGUGUAGUUAUACAUAACUGUAGCUUCAUAUAAACAAGUUGAUGGAAGGAGCCAAGGUGGGUUCUGUUGGUUGGUGGAGCGUGGAGUGUGGAAGAACUUGUUGGCAGCCUCGGAGAAUAGAGGUGGACUAGGAAUAAACAGAGUGAGAGGCGAACAUAUGUCUGUGCCCUCAUUGCUAAGAAUUAUUAUUGUCAAUUUGUUUAAUCUUGUCACAAUUAUGUAGAAUUUUGAGCCUUAUUUUAUUUUGUUAUUUUUAUAUUUUUGGAGAUUACAAUUAAUGUAAAGUGGGAAAUACUUUUUUGGUAAUUGUAAGAAUUAUUUUGGAAUUACCAAAUUGGUUAAAUGCCGAUUUCUUAU